rnacentral:sRNA from 1 species
ACUCUUUGCUAUCAAGUUGGUGUGUGGACUCGCUCUUUAGUUGAGGGGAUGAUGGAAGUGUCUGUGAUAUGUGUGCUUUUUACUUCUAUUGUUCGCACAAAUCGUGUGACUCUUAUAUACAUGUAUUUGGUGUGGUCCCUAUAGCAGAUUAAUAUAUCCAUGCUAAACAAAUGCUUAAGAGCAACGUUAAUUGUGCUUAAACAUGUUAAUUUUUUUUCAGUGUCAAAAUAAAAUGUAUAAAAAGUGUAUUGCAAUGCAAAAUGUUAUGUUUGUAAACAAUGCUACAGUCUUUCAGUUAAAGUUAAAACAUAAUAUUGUACAAUUAAAACAUGCAAUUUUAGAAAAAUAUUUUAUGUCUUAGAUAUUAGUGGUAUAACUUAAAUUGCUUCAAUAACUGACAAAAAUUACUGUAAUUUACCUAAAGUAAAGAAUAAUGUUAGAAAGAAAUUAAAAAAGAGUUUGUGAUAUUCAGUCUGUUACUGCAAAAUCUCCACACUGUGAUUGGCACUUUGACUACUCUUGCAACUUCUGUUCAGAAUGCUUUGCAUUAGUUGCAUAUAUACUGUACAAUGUAUAUAAGCAGCUUAUGAAGAAAAAAUCUUGACACAAUUAUGUCUCAGACAGCUUUUGUUCAGAUAUACAAGUAGUUUGAUUUUUUUCUUGUGCUUCUGUUUAAUUAAUACUGAAAUUGAACUCAAGUUUUUCAAAAUAUUUAUAGAAUAGAAAGGCACUAAAAUAGAAAUCCAGGUCAUGCUAUUGGCAGUUUGAUUGAUUAAAAAUAGAAACAUAUUUAUUCAACAUUUCAUUUAGUAAUAAUUGAGAUUAGUGAAUUAUAGACAAGAGCAGCUAUAACCAAACAUAUAUGUAUUCACCAGUUCUUUCCAAAUUGUGCAAUAGCUAAACAAAUUCAUGUUAUGGUAGUUUAGGAUGUUCAGUACUGUUUUAUGGCUACCGUAUAUAACUAUCUUGUAAAAUUUUGUUGACCUGGAAAUGAUGAUAUCUGGAUCAUCCUAAUUGGGUUAAUGUUUAGAAAAAUUGGCUAUUGAUAUUAGACUAUGAAAUAGUCGAUACUUGUUUAAAAUUAUGUCAUUACUAAUUUAUUCUGCUGUUGAAAUAGAUUUUUUCAUUACAUACAUAUAUUAUCUCUACAUGUGCUAAAUGUAUAUCCCAUUAUGUGCAUCUGGUCAUGAAAUUUUGAAUAUCUACAUGUAUUUAAUAUUUAGGAGCAAAAGAAUGGCUGGGUAUCUUUUUCUCAUUAUUUUUUUUAAAUGUAUGUUGAUUUAUGAACAUCAUAAUGGGAUCGAGUAAUUGGUGUACAAUGUACUUUUGAUUGUAGGUUUUAGAAAGUAUUUGAUUGAGACAAGUACGUUCUAGUACCAAUAUUUCACAGUUGUUUAUCAGAAUGAAGUUUGAAUGAUCAAUCAAAUGUAUAUCAAGAUGGAGAAUAAAGACUUGAAGAAAAC